rnacentral:ribozyme from 1 species
UCUUCCUUUUCUCUUUUACUUUUUCUUCCUUUUUCUUCCUUUUUUUUCACCUUGUUUG